rnacentral:rRNA from 1 species
UGCCGUUGCCGGCGACCGGCGCGACGGGUGAGUAACACGUAUGCAACCUGCCCGUGGCGAGGGGGGUAAGCGGGGGAAACCCCGUCUAAUACCGCGUAACGCGGCCUUGGGGCAUCCCAAGGCCGCCAAAGGGAGCAAUCCCGGCCACGGAUGGGCAUGCGGCGCAUUAGCUAGUCGGCGGGGUAACGGCCCACCGAGGCGACGAUGCGUAGGGGUUCUGAGAGGAAGGCCCCCCACACUGGUACUGAGACACGGACCAGACUCCUACGGGAGGCAGCAG